rnacentral:rRNA from 1 species
CUACAAAUGAAUUGACGGGGCCCGCACAGCGGUGGAGCAUGUGGUUUAAUUCGACGCAACGCGAAGAACCUUACCAGGGCUUGACAUCCCCUGACCGCGUAUGAAAGUACGUUUCACCCUCGGGUGACAGGGAGACAGGUGGUGCAUGGUUGUCGUCAGCUCGUGUCGUGAGAUGUUGGGUUAAGUCCCGCAACGAGCGCAACCCCUAUUGUUAGUUGCCAUCAUUCAGUUGGGCACUCUAGCGAGACUGCCGGUAAUAAACCGGAGGAAGGUGGGGAUGACGUCAAAUCAUCAUGCCCCUUAUGACCUGGGCUACACACGUGCUACAAUGGUUGGUACAACGAGUUGCGAGUCGGUGACGGCGAGCUAAUCUCUUAAAGCCAAUCUCAGUUCGGAUUGUAGGCUGCAACUCGCCUACAUGAAGUCGGAAUCGCUAGUAAUCGCGGAUCAGCACGCCGCGGUGAAUACGUUCCCGGGCCUU